CCGGAUUACUGAAAGAAAUCCAGGACAUGUUGAUCUUGCUUCGUAGUACAGGCCUCAGGUCUGCUGAAUUGUUGUCUCAGCUUCACUGUGCUCACCUCCAAGCCUUCCAGAUCUAGCCAGCUGGCCUCACCAUUCAGUCCUCCUCCCACGGCACCCUGCUUCAUAAUGUCUCCGCGUCCAGCCAGCUCUUCCUUGGCUCCUCUGCUUGUCUACUCCAGUGUCUCCUUCUCGGAUCUUCUGCCCCGGUUUCCCUGCGCUCCCCUGAGCUCCCUCGCCAUCCUAUUCCCCAGUACCUUGCCAUCCUAGUUUCUGCCCCUGUGUCCCUCGCCAUCCUAGGUUUUGCUUUUGAAUCCCUGGCUAUCCUUAUUUUGGCUCCUGAGUUCCUCGCCAUUCUAUGUUUGAGUUUGUUGGUCAAUAAAUCUGUUUUAUGUUUUGAGCUUUGCAUUUGAAUCCGCUCUGUCCAUCGUAACAACAUAGCAAACUAAUCCGAAUUUUAAAUUUCAAAAUUGUUUUGUUGUUCAACUAGGUCUAUACAUUUGUUUUUCUAGAACAGUGAUGGGGUAGCGCCCUUUAAGCAUAUAGUAUUUCUAGUGAUCGUAAGCUACUUACAUUAUCUGGAUUGAGAAAAUGAGAGAUUGUAGCAGUAAUGUAAGUAAUAAUUUCAAACUGUUAACAAUUGUCCUCUGAAGCCAAAUAGUUCACCUUGUAUAUAUUUAGCAUUGCUCCCAUAACUGCACCAUUUGAAUUUUACAUCUAGUUAAUUAUGUGCAUGAAGUAACUGUGCUGGGUGCUGACAGGUUUAACAAUGCACCGUCUAACUAGACUGGAUCUCAUCCACAGAAACCACAGGCAGCUCAAUGUCAACAGGGACAACAACAAAAGGAACUACAGGCAGCUCAAUGCCAACCCUGACCACUACAGGGACAACAACAAAAGGGAGGAGGGGCCUGAGGGGAGGGACAACGAGGGCGUGGUUUACAGGUAAUUUGCAUAUGAUUUGCAUACUGUGAGAGACUGCACCUCCACAGGCAUCCUCACAGAUUACCUAUAUCUGCAAUGGCUUCCACAAGUUCACCUGGAACCUCCAAAUCUAAGAUAUACAAGAUCUUUUCUUGGAGGGGGACCAUGACAGAGUGACAGAAGAGUCUGCCAGUGGAGUACUUUUACCACCCAUCCAGUGCCCUCUGAGGCUGCAGACUAUGGCAGAACUGAGGGCAGCCAUUUACCCUAUGACUAACUCCUAGUACAAUGGCGGAUAGCUUUGCAAGACUGCACUUAACUAUGUGAUUCUUCACACAUAAACAUGGCAGGAUAACACAGGAAAACCAUUUUGUUGUUUAAAAUGACACAUACCACUACUACUUUAUAUGUAGUACUGAUUUUAAUCCUUAACAGUUUUUGAAAUGACAUGCAUUUACAGUAUGGACUCCAGCAAAACAGUUAAAUCUGUACCUUUUCAAUGAAUAACAAAUAAAUAUAUUCAAGUAAGAA